CGGGUGCACUGAUCCAGCCGGGCCUUUCCCUCUGUGGAACCUCAUGGCCUUCACUGGCUGUGCUGGGGAAACAGGACUUUUACUGUGAAAAAAUUAGAGUGCUUAAGGCAGGCCUAUGCUCGAAUACAUUAGCAUGGAAUAAUAGAAUAGGACGUGUGGUUCUAUUUUGUUGGUUUCUAGGACCGCCGUAAUGAUUAAUAGGGACAGUCGGGGGCAUCAGUAUUCAAUUGUCAGAGGUGAAAUUCUUGGAUCUAUUGAAGACUAACUACUGCGAAAGCAUUUGCCAAGGAUGUUUUCAUUGAUAAGGAACGAAAGUUAGGGGAUCGAAGACGAUCAGAUACCGUCGUAGUCUUAACUAUAAACUAUGCCGACUAGGGAUCGGACGAUGUUAUUUCUUGACGCGUUCGGCACCUUUCGAGAAAUCAAAGUGCUUGGGCUCCAGGGGGAGUAUGGUCGCAAGGCUGAAACUUAAAGAAAUUGACGGAAGGGUACCACCAGGGGUGGAACCUGCGGCUUAAUUUGACUCAACACGGGGAAACUCACCAGGUCCAGGCACAGUGAGGAUUGACAGAUUGAGAGCUCUUUCUUGAUUCUGUGGGUGGUGGUGCAUGGCCGUUCUUAGUUGGUGGAGUGAUUUGUCUGCUUAAUUGCGAUAACGAACGAGACCUUAACCUGCUAAAUAGCCCGUACUGCUUUGGCAGUUCGCCGGCUUCUUAGAGGGACUAUCGG
rnacentral:rRNA from 1 species